AUUAGAUCCUAAUUUUAUUACUUGUUUGUUUAGUAUCUGUGUGUUUCUCCCCCAAGAGGGAUUAAUAAAGAGUUUUUUGUUUUUUGCUCUCUGUGCUCCACUUUUAUAUUUAUAAUUGCAGAGUAGCUUUUUUCAUAUAAGGAUACAAGGUCUUUUUGGGAGGCAGAUUGUUUACAAUCUGCAACCCAUUAGUCCUAUUUUCUCUUUGCACUUCUAGGGGUUAGGCCCCAUUGUAUCUCUCAACCAUCACAACCUUGGCGGAUGGAUUUGUUCCAUUCCUAACCAGUGCUGUUUCUUUAUAGUGAAAAGAAUACCACCCCCAUUGUGAAGCAUGAUGGUGG